rnacentral:lncRNA from 1 species
AAAAGACUAGGCUUUAAGAAGUUUUGGACCUUAGAGCUGCUAAUAAGAAGUUGUGCUCUCAUCUCUGUCUGUGGUCAUUGGCAAGGAGGAUUGUAGACUAUCUACCAUAGUCCAUUCAGAGACUAUUUAUCCACAUUUCAUUCCCCUUUCCUGGUGAUCAGUUAUUAAUUUGGAAAGAAGAAAAUAAACAGUAAGGCUAGCCCUAAUCGAAGGAAUUGGAAUUGACUGAAGUUACAGGACUGAAAUAAUAUCAUCCUGGGUUUAAUAGGUGGAUACAAACAACGCUUUUUCAAUUCUCCGUGGAAAGAUCAAGUAAACAUUACUUCCUGGGUGGCAGCUGCCCACGAGCAGGAAGACAAGGAGGAGUCAACCCACUCCAUCAGAUGGAGGAACCUUGGCAGUGUCUUCUUCUAGCUGGCCCCAGAGGAAGGAGGUGCUCACAAGGUCCCGGUUCUGAGGACUCUCUCAAGCUGUCUGUGGACCAGCUGGAGCAGGUUGGCCAGAACAUUCAAGGAACGCUGACAUCUGCUGUCCGCACUCAGCUGGAGGGUCACACUCAGCUUCAAGGGAGACAGACCCCUGACCAGGUGUCCUCUGCUGUUCCCUCCCUCGCCAAUAAUACCUCUGACUUCGGGCAAAGUGUUCUAGUUCACCUCCAGCUCUUCCUGCCCCAAGGCCACCUAUAUUCCUAUUGA